rnacentral:rRNA from 1 species
CUGCUCGAAGAUCUUAGUGGCGGACAGGUGAGUAACGCGUGGGCAAUCUGCCCGUAAGAGGGGGAUAACACCUAGAAAUGGGUGCUAAUACCGCAUAACAUCAUAGGGUUGCAUGACCUUGUGAUCAAAGGAGAAAUCCGCUUACGGAUGAGCCCGCGUCUGAUUAGCUAGUUGGUGGGGUAACGGCCUACCAAGGCGACGAUCAGUAGCCGGCCUGAGAGGGUGAUCGGCCACACUGGAACUGAGACACGGUCCAGACUCCUACGGGAGGCAGCAGUGGGGAAUCUUCCGCAAUGGGCGAAAGCCUGACGGAGCAACGCCGCGUGAGUGAUGAAGGCCUUCGGGUUGUAAAACUCUGUCUUCAGGGAAGAAAAAAAUGACGGUACCUGAGGAGGAAGCCACGGCUAACUACGUGCCAGCAGCCGCGGUAAUACGUAGGUGGCAAGCGUUGUCCGGAAUUACUGGGCGUAAAGAGCGCGUAGGCGGGGAUUUAAGUCAGGAGUGAAAACUACCGGCUCAACCGGUAGCCUGCUCUUGAAACUGAAUCUCUUGAGGGUAUGAGAGGAAAGCGGAAUUCCCAGUGUAGCGGUGAAAUGCGUAGAUAUUGGGAGGAACACCAGUGGCGAAGGCGGCUUUCUGGCAUACAACUGACGCUGAGGCGCGAAAGCGUGGGGAGCAAACGGGAUUAGAUACCCCGGUAGUCCACGCCGUAAACGAUGGGCACUAGGUGUAGGAGGUAUCGACCCCUUCUGUGCCGUAGUUAACACAAUAAGUGCCCCGCCUGGGGAGUACGGCCGCAAGGUUGAAACUCAAAGGAAUUGACGGGGGCCCGCACAAGCGGUGGAGUAUGUGGUUUAAUUCGACGCAACGCGAAGAACCUUACCAGGGCUUGACAUCC